rnacentral:rRNA from 1 species
GCUUGAAGAAUAUAUUUUAAGUUAAUUCUGCCCGGUGCUUUAAGUUAACGGCCGCAGUACCUUGACUGUGCUAAGGUAGCAUAAUCAAUUGGCUAUUAAUUGUAGUCUAGUAUGAAAGAAUAAAUGAUUAGGGGCUAUAAUAGGGGGUUUAGUUAAAACUUAUUUAUCAGGUGAAAAUACCUGUAAUAAGAAAAAAGACGAGAAGACCCUUAGAGUUUAAAAAAUUACACUAUAUCUGAUUAGUGGUGUUUUUUAUUGGGGCGAUAAGAAAACAUUAUUAAACUUUUCUAUCAAUGAUUGUACAGGCCGAAUUUAUUAUGGAUGGCUAAACUACCUUAGGGAUAACAGCAUAAUGAUGUAUUUUAGUUUGUGACCUCGAUGUUGGACUAGGAACUUUAACACUAGCCGUGGUAAAAGAAUGUUCUGUUCGAACAGUUGUUUCCU